rnacentral:rRNA from 1 species
CAGUCGCCACGGUAAUACGUAGGUGGCAAGCAUCGUCCGGAAUUAUUGGGCGUAAAGCGCGCGCAGGCGGAUAGGUCAGUCUGUCUUAAAAGUUCGGGGCUUAACCCCGUGAUGGGAUGGAAACUGCCAAUCUAGAGUAUCGGAGAGGAAAGUGGAAUUCCUAGUGUAGCAGUGAAAUGCGUAGAUAUUAGGAAGAACACCAGUGGCGAAGGCGACUUUCUGGACGAAAACUGACGCUGAGGCGCGAAAGCCAGGGGAGCGAACAGGAUUAGAUACCCCCGUAGUCCCUGUCUCUUAUACA